rnacentral:rRNA from 1 species
UACGUAGGGUGCAAGCGUUGUCCGGAAUUAUUGGGCGUAAAGAGCUCGUAGGCGGUUUGUCGCGUCGAAUGUGAAAUCCCGGGGCUCAACCCCGGGUCUGCAUUCGAUACGGGCAGACUAGAGUUCGGUAGGGGAGUCUGGAAUUCCUGGUGUAGCGGUGAAAUGCGCAGAUAUCAGGAGGAACACCGGUGGCGAAGGCGGGACUCUGGGCCGAUACUGACGCUGAGGCACGAAGGCCAGGGGAGCAAACGGG